rnacentral:lncRNA from 1 species
CGCGCGCCGCCCCUAGGAACCCGGAUCGAGGCCGCGCGCGCCGCGGUCGCGGGGCUGGCGGAGGGGAAGCUGGGUACCCUCUUCUGUGCCUGCGGUUCUCUGACCCACCCACCUGCAGACGCAGGGUGGGGCGCUCACAGUGGGCACGCUGCUCUGGGGCCGGUGGGCGGAUGGUUGGAAGGCGAGGCCGAGGAGCUGGGAGCGCGGUCCACGCGGGGCGUCUCGAGGCGCCCUCGGGCUGAUGUCCUUGGCUCGCCUCCUCGCCCUCGGUCGCCCGGGCUGCGCUCUGCAUCCUAAUCUGGCUCCUUCAGAGCCCCCCUCAGAAACCAAGGGGAGGAAUUCCGCAGUUCACUUCCCACACAACCCAAAUCCUUCAUCUGUCGCCUCGGGAACACCGCAUCCUACACCCCCUGCCGCCAGCUCCUUCGCACGCCAGCCCCGAUUCUUCCCCAGCGGGUUCUGGGCCCUGACGAGGGAACCCCCCUCGCGGGGGGGAGGGAGAAGAGUUGAUUUUAUUAUUAAUAGCUGACGCAGCGCUUGAUAGGUGUCUGCAGGGCAGUCACAGUUCACGCCGCUGGAGCUGCCACACAGCAGCUAGACUUGGGCUAGGAGGUGCUUCGCUGUGGCUUUCAGAUGAAGGCCAUUUCAUAGACUCACUUCCCUCGACAGGAGAAAAGGGGACUUGAAUCCAAAGCUGCUCUUAAACCACAGAUGAUUUGCUCUGCUCGGGAGGACAAAGCGCAGGUCACAGCAAGAUAAAGGGAAUUUUGCCAAUAUAAAGAAGCUACAUUACUUAACAAGGGGAUGGGAAAUUGCAUGGAAUUCAUGAACAAAACAUGAACAUAUUCUCUUCACAAAGAAGAGCAGCUUUCUUCACGGAGUAGGUUGCAGAAUGAAGCAAUUAGUCCACUUUUGUGUUUAACAAUAACGCACCAUCCGCAUGAGCAAAAGCAGAGCAGAAAAAUCACCUCAGUUGUCUCAAGUGGCUGGGCUUCAGGACUUAAGAUAAAUUCCUUCAGCAGAUGCAAAUUACAGUGCAUCACCAGCUGAAAAAAUCAGGCACGUCAUGUCAUUUAAUUAUUUCCAAGGAGUGGACGUUGGCAUGUAGUUUUGAUUGAUACUUGGAAAAGAACCAACAAAACCCUACACGAAACAAACAAACAAAAAAUUAUACUAUAUGGCAACGCACUGAGAGAAGCCAGGUGGAAACUGGUUAGGUCACAGGAUCAGAGCCGCUUCAAGAGGGGCACUCACAUGAUUCAAUAUUAUCACAGUCUUCAAAACAUCACCUUUUGGAAAACGUGGAGAGACAAAUUCAGAGAAUUGCAGGCACCAGAUAAGUAUAUCCACAAACAACAAUGGGCUAGGCGUGGUGACUCACACCUGUAAUCCCAGCACUUUGGGAGGCCGAGGUGGGUGGAUCACACGAGGUCAGCAGUUCGAGACCAG